CCGUCAUUUCCGGCCAGCUGUUUUGGGCUGGAUGCGGAGGUGGCGGACAGAGCCUCAGGGCUGGGCGACUGUGUGACUCCAAGCUGUCAGAUUGGCUUUCAGAGCCUCAGCCGAGCUUAGCUGGCAGCCAGGAAGUUCCACUCCAGCGAGCUCCGAGCCUCUGUGUUCUGCCGAAGGGCCCAAGAGAUUCCAUCACUCUGGACAGGUCAGUGGCCCAGCUUCAGCCUUAACACCACGCCAGCCACCUGAGAUGUACAUUGAGAGUCAACUUUCUUCUACCAGCAUGUUUGGAAAAACAACAACAGAUGACAGCAUGACCCCUGCCCCAUCUCCAUGGGCUGACACAUGGCAUGUCCAUCCCUGCCUCUGGGAAGCAAAGUAUUGGAGGGAGCCAUGCUGAGAGCUUGGUGGAGGUGAAUAGGAGCUGGGUGACUCUCAAGCACCAAGGACACUUAACUCACCUCUGGAAGCAGCUUUAGUGACAAGGGACCAAGCGAGUCUUCUUGUUUGGGGUCUGCCUUUAAUUGCCCAAGCAAGUAAAGGGCUGGAGAAACGGCCCAAUGGUUAAGAAGUGUUUGCUGCUCUUUCAGAGGACUGGGAUUUGGUUCCCAGAACCAAUGUCAGGCAGCUCACAACUGCCUGUAACUCCAGCUCCAGAGGAUCUGACACCAGCUCCUGGCCUCUGUGCAUAACACCCAUAAUAUACAUUAAAAAUAAAUCUGGGGGAAGGUGGAAAUAAAUAAAGUAAAACAAAUCUC